UGGACAGGUCUGGAACUACCAACCUACAGGACAACAAGGUAUCAUUACAUGGACAGGUCUGGAUCUACCAACCUACAGGACAACAAGGUAUCAUUACAUGGACAGGUCUGGAUCUACCAACCUACAGGACAACAAGGUAUCAUUACAUGGACAGGCAGAAACUACCAACCUACAGGACAGGACAACAAGGUAUCAUUACAUGGACAGGUCUGGAACUACCAACCUACAGGACAACAAGGUGUUAGCAUCACUACAUGG